UGCGUGCGUGCGUGUAUGUGCAUGUGCAUGUGCAUGUGCAUGCGGGUUCACCUGUGGUGGUGAGUUCUGGUUAAGUCAAGUGAUCUAGAGGUGUGUGGGUGACCAGAACUUUCAACCCACCUGCGGCUCAGCGCUGUGACUCAUCCACACUUGCUGCUUUCUUCUGAUCUACUGUCACGUGAUGCCCUGAAGUCAUGGACCUGAGCCAUAUUUACAGACCAGACUAUCAGGGUGCAGGACUCUUAUGGCCCGGACCGAUGAGUCUUUAAAAUCUCUACAUCAGUGUGGACGGCUGGACGCAGGACAGAUCUGCUGUUUGAUGAGUUUAUUUGGAGCUGUAGACAAGAAUGGAGAAGAUAAAGACUGAUUAUCCAGGUGAGUGUGAUCACAGUGAGCCUUCGAGGAGCCUUCAUGUCACAGCAUCAGGACCGCAGCAUCACGGCUGACAGCGGCGGCUCUCCCAGCAGCUCGCGGAAAGGUUAGACGGAUCAGACGGGAUGAGAGUUUACAGUCAGAGAGGGGGACA
rnacentral:lncRNA from 1 species